rnacentral:rRNA from 1 species
UGCGUAGGUGGCGAGGUAAGUCGGAUGUGAAAGCUCGGAGCUCAACUCCGAAAUGGCAUUGGAAACUACCUUGCUCGAGGGUUGGAGGGGGGACUGGAAUACUUGGUGUAGCAGUGAAAUGCGUAGAUAUCAAGUGGAACACCAGUGGCGAAGGCGAGUCCCUGGACAACUCCUGACACUGAGGCACGAAAGCUGGGAGCAAACA